GGGGGGUUAGCUCAAUUGGUUAGAGCCGUCCGCUCAUAACGGAUUGGUUGGGGGUUCGAGUCCCUCACCCCCUACCA
rnacentral:tRNA from 1 species